rnacentral:rRNA from 1 species
GACGUAGGAUGCAAGCGUUGUCCGGAAUUAUUGGGCGUAAAGAGUUCGUAGGCGGUUAUCUAAGUCUGGGGUUAAAGCCCGAAGCUCAACUUCGGCAUGGCAUUGGAAACUGGGUAGCUAGAGUGUGGUAGAGGUAUCGGGAAUUCCUGGUGUAGCGGUGGAAUGCGCAGAUAUCAGGAGGAACACCGAUGGCGAAGGCAGAUCUCUGGGCCGUAACUGACGCUGAGGAGCGAAAGCAUGGGGAGCGAACAGG